AUGAAUACCUUCCCACUAACAAAUAAGCCAUCACGUUUUCAGGACUGUCUCCUUCGUAAUUUUGUUAAUUGUACAACGAAACAAACGGAACUUCUUAAGGAGAUUAAUCAUGGAAAGGAAAUUUUCAAUGGCUCCGGUCUUGUUCUAAAUAAAAUAAUUUAUAACAAACAUUGGAGCAGCAUAUUGGUAAUCGAAGUUCUUGCUUUAAUAGGCCUGUUUCUCUGUUUUUGUGGAUUUCGACUCUUGAAGACUGUUCUUUUUCUCGCUGGAUUUGUCAUCGCAUCUCUCUUUACAUAUACCGUAACUCCAUUAAUAUUUAAGACUAAAGUUUGUUGUGGAGUGGAUAGCAACAGAACGGUUCAUUUGGGUGUAAGUGUCUUGCUGGGUCUUAUCUUUGGUAUUUUAAGUUUGAAGCUUUAUCGCCUUGGCGUUUUUGCCAUCGGACAAUGUCUCGGUCUGAUCGUUGCGUUAUCUGUACUCUGCACGCCAAUUCAUGUCUAUUUUGACAGUGAUGUGACCUACUCCUUGUUUAUGGGGACAUUGUGUUUCAUUUUCGGAUCUCUCUCCUGCAAAUAUGAGAAACCCAUCGUCGUCUUGGCGACAGCCAGUGGAGGAUCGCUCUGCUUUUUGUAUGGUAUGGAUCAUUUUGCCAAAACUAGUUUCUCUGUGAGCGUGGAAAGAUUAUUGUACAGAGUAGAAGACAUUGUAAUAGAUGGUGUUCAUUCGGAGUAUUCUAACUGGAAAUAUCAUGUGAAAGGGCUUUCUCAUUACGAUAUUUUACACUUCGAUAACAAAGCUAUUCCUAUCUUCGUAGUAUGGUUAGUGAUGACGGUGUUGGGAACCGGAACUCAAUACAAAUGUUUUCAUCCGAAUGAUAACGAAGAUAACGACAAAUUGUCAUUGCCAUUAAAUUGCUGUCGUUCGAUAUGAUUUGGCAUAAACUACCCGAGAAACGUACCUAAAAAUGUUGGCAAAAUCUUCUGCAUUUAGCAUGAAUAUCGUUACUUUAGAUGAUCGAUUAAGAACAGCUCUAACCAGCACCUUAACGCGCUAGAUGCUUAUUAUAUUAUUCGUUUCAUCAUAACUUUCACAACUGAAUUCAUAAAAAUAUUGUGCGUUUAUCAAUGGUUGAGUUUUCGUACAUGCGAGAAAUGUUGAUGACGUAAUUAAUGAUGACGUCACCGCAGUGCCAACAGCGGGGACAAUAGACAAAGAUGAUUUCUGCCUGUCUUCGGAAGAAGUAACGUGUGAGUGUAUAAAAUAGAAUUUACGAAUUUAUGUUCGUUUUUGUGCAAUUUGGUGCCAAUUUCCUUCCGAUGUAUAUCGUACAACAUGUUGGUUUCUGGUUUGUCCGAAAAACAUUUCACUGCGCGUUGUUGAAUUGCGGGUUCACGUAUGAAAAUCCUUGAAAGUCAUCUUGAUUGAUGGUAUCGAGAACGCCUUUGUCCGUCGGCGUUAGUCGUGGAGCCUCGCGCGUAAACUCGAGCUCGAAAUUGACAGGAUCCAAAUGCGUUUUCUAUUGGAUAAAAAAUAUAUUAAAACCGAUGCAAGGCAUCAAUAAAAUAACGUGUCUUACAAGCUACAGAAAAAAUUUACCAAGAUGGCGGUGUUUUUAAGUAAACCUGUAGUUAUAUUUAUAUAUGCGUAAACAAUGAUCUACACACUUGUCCAAAAUAGCGCUAAUAAUAGACGUAUGAAAACUAACUCACCCCAGUCUUUGGUUUAAAAGGCGGGCGAAUAGCUUUUUCUUCUAAUUUUUUCCAAUCAAUUUCCUGGAAAAAUACGUGUUCUCGAAUGGCCUUUUCGCCUGUUGAUGUGCAACCAAGUCUUUUGCUUGGAUCCUUCGUCAUGAACUGUUAACAAAGUUUUAGUGUUAAAUUUAAAAGUUGAAAUGUUCGAGUUCCAAAAAAUAGAUUAUUGUGGCAGCGAUUCUCAAGAAUAAUGUUAAGCAUACUGUCAAAAA